UGGGGCAAAUCAGGCUCAGUUUAAAGGAGCAAUCAUGUUCAGUUCUAGCCAACUGUUACUAGAGGGAAUUUCAAGAGAAGUCAGAAAUCUGAAUUUUCAUGUGAAACCUUCAUUGUGGGCCGUAAUGAACAACAGCAACAAAGGCAUCAACAUCAAACCCACAAAAUUGUGGGACAUAACCAUAUAUGUCCACGGAUUUGCUCUUCCUCUUGGUCCUCUAGUGUCAAAGCUCUGAGUGUUCCAAUUGCCUGAUUCACUCAUCAAAUCGCCUUUACUUGCAAAACACUUACUUAUCCUUUAGGCGUCAGCUUAGAAGUUACUUCUGAAGGUAAGUGUCCUUACCUGCCACUCUCCACCCUGCACUAUGUCCUGUCUAUCUCCAGGGUGUUUCCAUAACAGGGCGCUCCAGGGAGGCCUGCCCUGCCCACCAGCUUAUAUUCCACAGUAUUGUAAUUGCUUUGCUGACUGUGUCGUUUGUACUUGAUACUAACCUCUAUGAGGGCAACAGCUGCUGAUGGUGUGACUUCUGUUCCCACAGUGCAGUAUUCCUGAAGCAUGAGCGUGCCUAGGAAUUAAUGGUCAAGUGAAAGAGUGAUGUUUGAUUUCUCCAACGUGCGUGGCUGUGCAGCUCACUUCAUUUUCCCUACUCCCUUAGGACUUGGGCUGUUCAUAUACUUGCAGGAUUUUGCCCCCUCUGCCUUUACCUCAUCUUUAUGGUCCAGGCUUUGGUCAGUCAUUAUUGUGCUCAGCUCUUGCUGCAGAGAUGUGAAAUGGGUUUAAUCCUGCUUGCCUCUUGCCAGAAGGAUUGGAGUAUGAAUAAAUAGAAAGCAGAUCCCUUGUUGGGCAGAAACACUGAUGCUCGGGCAUUGUCUAACACCAUCCAACACCCCCUCCCCCACCAAGUCAGUGGGUGUCAGUGUUUAGCCCUUCUGUGCCCGGCAUCCUCUGGCUCCAGAAGUGCUCCUUGAUCUCAAUAAAGUGUGCCAAACAUUUGAUAAAUAAGGAGGAUGUACUCAGAAUUUUUAUUAUAAUAACUACUUCAGAUGAGACCUUGAUAUUAUUCUAAGUCAGUUCUUCAGAGUAAAUAUUCUAUUGUAUUUUUGAAGAAGGUGAGUUUUUUUCUCUCUAAAAACUUGCCUUUGGUUUAUUAAUGUAGUUUGUGAAGCUCUAUAUGAAGUCCAAGGGGUAUAAAUAUAAGGGGUAGGCAUGGAGGUGAAUAUCUGUGUGUGUGUUUAUGAGUGUCCCAUGUGCCCCAGUGCUAGCUUGGUGGGAAAUUUUAUACUGGUUCUAUCUAGUCUCACCUCAAACAUAUGUGGGGAUAACCCCUACACUACCCUUGUGUCUGCAGGACACUAUUUUCUACUUAGUACAGGUGUGUAUGUGUGUGUGGGGUGUGUGUGUGUGUGUGUGUGUGUGUGGCCCUUCAAGUGCUCUGGACCGUUUCUGACAUGAAGUGGGUUGUAUGAGGAGCUGAGAAAACUCUUGGGACAGAGAUGAAAUGAACACCUCCUCUCCUGGGCAACUCCUGGGUGAUGUGGAAGUUGCUAUUGAUUGGUCACUAUCAGCAGAUGGCAGUGAGGGAGCCAGGUUUCCACUUAGCUGGUGAUUGAUAGCACCUGCUCCAGGCAGAUGUCCGGGGUUGUUCCAUCUCUGUUUCUGUCAUGGGGUCCCUCCUCUUCUCUUCUCCCAACCAGAGUCUUUAGUCCAUAUCCAUGAGACGUGGGUUCAAUCUCUGGCCUCAGUCAGUGGGUUAUGGAUGUGGUGUUUCCACAAGCUGUGGUACAGGUCACAGAUGAGGCUCAGGUCUGUUGUUGUUGUGGCUGUGGCAUAGACUGGCAGCUGCAGAUCUGAGUGGACCCCUAGCCUCCUGGGAACUUCCAUAUGUUACAGGUCUGGCUACAAAAGGAAAGAAAAAAAAAAAAAGAAUAUGCCCUUUUGGUUUUCAGGUUCCUCUGUGUUCCCCUUACCUCCAAGCAUGAGGUAACUCAUAUGUGUAGGGACAGACAUCCUUGGUGGAACACUGAAGAAAAUCAUUCAUGAAGGAAAAACACACUAAUGUUAUUGCACUGAAAAUUAUUAAACACACUAAUAUUAUCACGCUCCAAAUUAUUGUGAAUAUUAUUUUGUACACAGAGUUGUAUCUUAUAUCCCACUUGCUUGUAAAUAUAUGUUUAAAUUUGAAUGGGGAGUUCCUGCACCAUGGCUCAGCAGAAAUGAAUCCAACUAGUAUCCGUAAGGCUCUAUCUCUGGCCCAUCUCAGGGGUUAAAGAUUCGGAGUUGCCAUGAGCUGUGGUGUAGGUGGAAGACUCAGCUUGGAUCUGGCGUUGCUGUGGCUGUGGUGUAGGUCAGCAGCUACAGCUCUGAUUCAACCCCUAGACUGGGAA
ensembl:lncRNA